GAUGAACGCUGACAGAAUGCUUAACACAUGCAAGUCAACUUGAAUUUGGGUUUUUAACUUAGGUUUGGGUGGCGGGCGGGUGAGUAACGCGUAAAGAACUUGCCUCACAGCUAGGGACAACAUUUGGAAACGAAUGCUAAUACCUAAUAUUAUGAUAAUAGGGCAUCCUAUAAUUAUGAAAGCUAUAAGCGCUGUGAGAGAGCUUUGCGUCCCAUUAGCUAGUUGGAGAGGUAACGGCUCACCAAGGCGAUGAUGGGUAGCCGGCCUGAGAGGGUGAUCGGCCACAAGGGGACUGAGACACGGCCCUUACUCCUACGGGAGGCAGCAGUGGGGAAUAUUGGACAAUGGACCGAGAGUCUGAUCCAGCAAUUCUGUGUGCACGAUGAAGUUUUUCGGAAUGUAAAGUGCUUUCAGUUGGGAAGAAACAAAUGACGGUACCAACAGAAGAAGUGACGGCUAAAUACGUG
rnacentral:rRNA from 1 species